CCUACGGGAGGCAGCAGUGGGGGAUAUUGCACAAUGGGGGAAACCCUGAUGCAGCGACGCCGCGUGAGUGAAGAAGUAUUUCGGUAUGUAAAGCUCUAUCAGCAGGGAAGAAAAUGACAGUACCUGACCAAGAAGCCCCGGCUAACUACGUGCCAGCAGCCGCGGUAAUACGUAGGGGGCAAGCGUUAUCCGGAUUUACUGGGUGUAAAGGGAGCGUAGACGGUUAUGUAAGUCUGGAGUGAAAGCCCGGGGCCCAACCCCGGGACUGCUUUGGAAACUGUGUAACUGGAGUGCAGGAGGGGUAAGCGGAAUUCCUAGUGUAGCGGUGAAAUGCGUAGAGAUUAGGAGGAACACCGGUGGCGAAGGCGGCUUACUGGACUGUAACUGACGUUGAGGCUCGAAAGCGUGGGGAGCAAACAGGAUUAGAUACCCCAGUAGUC
rnacentral:rRNA from 1 species